rnacentral:pre_miRNA from 1 species
GAACUACUCCCUCCGUUCGGAAUUACUUGUCGCAGAAAUGGAUGUAUCUAGAUGUAUUUUAGUUCUAGAUACAUCCAUUUCCGAGACAAGUAAUUCCGAACGGAGGGAGUAGUUU